CACUGCCCAGACUCCUACGGGAGGCUGCAGUCGAGAAUCUUGGGCAAUGCGCGAAAGCGUGACCCAGCAAUGCCGCGUGUGUGAUGAAGGUCUUCGGAUUGUAAAACACUGUCUCCCGUGACGAUAAUGACGGUAGCGGGGAAGGAAGCCACGGCUAACUACGUGCCAGCAGCCGCGGUAAUACGUAGGUGGCGAGCGUUGUUCGGAUUUAUUGGGCGUAAAGGGUCUGUAGGAGGUUUGUUAAAUACGGGGUGAAAUCCGGGAGCUCAACUCCCGAACUGCCCUGUAGACUGACAGACUGGAGUACCGGAGAGGUAAGCGGAAUACCAAGUGUAGCGGUGGAAUGCGUAGAUAUUUGGUAGAACACCAAGAGCGAAGGCAGCUUACUGGCCGGCAACUGACUCUGAAAGACGAAAGCAUGGGGAGCAAACAGGAUUAGAUACCCUGGUAGUCCAUGCCGUAAACGUUGUCAACUUGAUGUGGGUGGAUUUAGUCCUGUCCGUAUCGAAGCCAACGCGAUAAGUUGACCGCCUGGGGACUACGGCCGCAAGGCUAAAACUCAAAGGAAUUGACGGGGGCCCGCACAAGCGGUGGAGCAUGUGGCUUAAUUCGAGGCAACGCGAAGAACCUUACCUGGGCUUGAAAUAUACCGGACAGUCUGUGAAAGCAGAUCUCCCUUCGGGGCUGGUAUACAGGUGCUGCAUGGCUGUCGUCAGCUCGUGCCGUGAGGUGUUCGGUUAAGUCCGGCAACGAGCGCAACCCGCGUCAUUAGUUGCCAACAGGUAAAGCUGGGGACUCUAAUGAGACUGCCUGUGUUAAGCAGGAGGAAGGCGCGGAUGAUGUCAAGUCAGUAUGGCCCUUACGCCCAGGGCUGCACACGUGCUACAAUGGCCGGCACAAUGAGAAGCGAAGUCGCGAGGCGGAGCAAAUCUACAAAACCGGUCUUAGUUCAGAUUGCAGUCUGCAACUCGACUGCAUGAAGUUGG
rnacentral:rRNA from 1 species